rnacentral:lncRNA from 1 species
UUGCAUUGUGAGCUUCUUUGGAAAUAUAGAUUUUAAUUUUCUGAUACUGUAGAUGAAACUCAUUUUUAGAUGUAUUUUCUUUAUCUGAAAUGAUGAGUUAGUAAUCUUCCUGAAUUUCAGAAACAGUGUGAAUAUACCCUGAUAGGCUAAGCAUAUAUUAUUACCAUAUGCUUGCUAUAAAUGGAAUUAAGCAUGGCUAUGUAUUGGCUAGGGGAUUACUCAGAAUCAGUUUGAUGUACUGAUCAGCUGGGCUUUUAAAUACAAUACUGGCAUUGUUGUGUUGUGCUAUGCAGAUCACUGUCUCCCACCUGGGGAGGUCUGCCCCAUUAGGAAUUAAAUCUAGCUGGUGCUGCUGCAGCUGCAUUGGCAAAUGGGAGAGGGAAGGAGGCAGCAGCAUACAAACAGGACUAUUGUGCUAGGUGAAACUCAACACCAACUUGGCUAUGCAGGUUGUCUCCACCACUCUGUGUGUAAUAAUGGAUGUUUUGGACAAGGUCACAACUGUUGGACAAAUAUAUACAGCACUUAGGUGGACUCACUGCUGCUGCCUCCUAAGUGGAAUGCCUACAGAGCUGCUAAACGUGAAGACCUUGCUUAUGGACAUAAAAGAGGAAAUGAUCACUGAGGCACUCAAGGCAUUAUUAAGGUGGAUAAUACACUCUGCAUGUCUGGAGCAGCACAUCUCUGGUGUCUGUAUUAGAGCUCAGAUCUCUUGA